AGCGAACGCUGGCGGCAGGCCUAACACAUGCAAGUCGAACGGACCCUUCGGGGUUAGUGGCGGACGGGUGAGUAACACGUGGGAACGUGCCUUUAGGUUCGGAAUAGCUCCUGGAAACGGGUGGUAAUGCCGAAUGUGCCCUUCGGGGGAAAGAUUUAUCGCCUCUAGAGCGGCCCGCGUCUGAUUAGCUAGUUGGUGAGGUAAUGGCUCACCAAGGCGACGAUCAGUAGCUGGUCUGAGAGGAUGACCAGCCACAUUGGGACUGAGACACGGCCCAAACUCCUACGGGAGGCAGCAGUGGGGAAUCUUGCGCAAUGGGCGAAAGCCUGACGCAGCCAUGCCGCGUAGAUGAUGAAGGUCUUAGGAUUGUAAAAUCCUUUCACCGGUGAAGAUAAUGACUGUAGCCGGAGAAGAAGCCCCGGCUAACUUCGUGCCAGCCGCCGCGGUAACAC
rnacentral:rRNA from 1 species